GACAGAGGGUGCAAACGUUGUUCGGAAUUACUGGGCGUAAAGCGUGUGUAGGCGGCUCUGCAAGUCGGAUGUGAAAGCCCCGGGCUCAACCUGGGAAGUGCACUCGAAACUGCUGAGCUUGAGUAUCGGAGAGGUCGUUGGAAUUCUCGGUGGAGAGGUGAAAUUCGUAGAUAUCGAGGGGAACACCAGUGGCGAAGGCGGCCGACUGGACGAAUACUGACGCUGAGACACGAAAGCGUGGGGAGCAAACAGG
rnacentral:rRNA from 1 species